UACGUAGGGCGCAAGCGUUGUCCGGAAUUAUUGGGCGUAAAGAGCUCGUAGGCGGCUUGUCACGUCGGGUGUGAAAGCCCGGGGCUUAACCCCGGGUCUGCAACCGAUACGGGCAGACUAGAAUUCGGUAGGGGAGACUGGAAUUCCUGGUGUAGCGGUGGAAUGCGCAGAUAUCAGGAGGAACACCGGUGGCGAAGGCGGGUCUCUGGGCCGACAUUGACGCUGAGGAGCGAAAGCGUGGGGAGCGAACAGG
rnacentral:rRNA from 1 species